GAGUUUUGAUCCUGGCUCAGAAUCAACGCUGGCGGCGUGCCUAACACAUGCAAGUCGAACGAGAAAGUGGAGCAAUCCAUGAGUAAAGUGGCGACCGGGUGAGUAACACGUGACUAACCUACCUUCGAGUGGGGGAUAACCUCGGGAAACCGGGGCUAAUACCGCAUAACAUCCUUGGAGUGGAAACUCUGGGGAUCAAAGGAGCAAUUCGCUGGAAGAGGGGGUCGCGGCUGAUUAGCUAGUUGGCGGGGUAACGGCCCACCAAGGCUUUGAUCGGUAGCCGGCCUGAGAGGGCGCACGGCCACACUGGAACUGAAACACGGUCCAGACUCCUACGGGAGGCAGCAGUGGGGAAUUUUGCGCAAUGGGGGAAACCCUGACGCAGCAACGCCGCGUGGAGGAUGAAGUCCCUUGGGACGUAAACUCCUUUCGACCGGGACGAUAAUGACGGUACCGGUUGGAAGAAGCCCCGGCUAACUUCGUGCCAGCAGCCGCGGUAAUACGAGGGGGGCAAGCGUUGUCGGAAUUAUUGGGCGUAAAG
rnacentral:rRNA from 1 species